GAUGAACGCUGGCGGCGUGCCUAAUACAUGCAAGUCGAGCGAACAGACGAGGAGCUUGCUCCUCUGACGUUAGCGGCGGACGGGUGAGUAACACGUGGAUAACCUACCUAUAAGACUGGGAUAACUUCGGGAAACCGGAGCUAAUACCGGAUAAUAUAUUGAACCGCAUGGUUCAAUAGUGAAAGACGGUUUUGCUGUCACUUAUAGAUGGAUCCGCGCCGCAUUAGCUAGUUGGUAAGGUAACGGCUUACCAAGGCAACGAUGCGUAGCCGACCUGAGAGGGUGAUCGGCCACACUGGAACUGAGACACGGUCCAGACUCCUGCGGGAGGCAGCAGUAGGGAAUCUUCCGCAAUGAGCGAAAGCCUGACGGAGCAACGCCGCGUGAGUGAUGAAGGUCUUCGGAUCGUAAAACUCUGUUAUUAGGGAAGAACAAAUGUGUAAGUAACUAUGCACGUCUUGACGGUACCUAAUCAGAAAGCCACGGCUAACUACGUG
rnacentral:rRNA from 1 species